rnacentral:rRNA from 1 species
UACGUAGGUGGCAAGCGUUGUCCGGAUUUACUGGGCGUAAAGCGCGCGCAGGUGGUUCCUUAAGUCUGAUGUGAAAGCCCACGGCUCAACCGUGGAGGGUCAUUGGAAACUGGGGAACUUGAGUGCAGAAGAGGAAAGUGGAAUUCCAAGUGUAGCGGUGAAAUGCGUAGAGAUUUGGAGGAACACCAGUGGCGAAGGCGACUUUCUGGUCUGUAACUGACACUGAGGCGCGAAAGCGUGGGGAGCAAACAGG